rnacentral:lncRNA from 10 species
UACUCGGGAGGCUGAGGCUGGACAAUCGCUUGAAUCCAGGAGGUGGAGCUUGCAGUGAGCCAAGAUUGUGCCACUGCACUCCAGCCUGGGGGAAAAGAGCAAAAUUCCAUCUAAAAAAAAAAAAAAGCGGAUCAAGGUCCCUACUCUGGGCAUGAGAGGAGGGAUCCUUUGACACUCCUGGGAGCAGCAGUGUGGCAGAGGAGGAGGAGCAGGGCAUGGGGUCAGCCACCCUCAGUCCAUUUCCCAGGGUGUGGCCUUAGGCACGGUCACUACCUCUCUGGGCUUCUGUCUCCACAUGUAUGAAAUGGAAUCAGUCCCUCCUUCCACAGGUGUUAGGUCGAAGAAGGCACCUCUGGUGGUAUCGGCACAGAGGCUGGACACUGGAUGACUUCUUUGCUGGGACACUGAGGUAGGGGGCAGACCAGAGACAGACAGCUACUUGCCUAAGCUCACCCAGCAAGCUGGCUGAAGGUGGAGAACUGGCUUGUCCUCCAGUUGGUAGUUAACAGCUGUCUAGCAGGAGUGUUCUUGCUCCCAGGAGACGCUCCGUUGGCUGCCACAGAGGUAAGCGUGAGAGUGCGCUCAGAAGUGGCUGGGAGGCAUGGAGAACAGAGGAGCAGGUUCAGGGUGAAUUCCAGUGGGCAUUCUCCAAGGGUGAGGUCACUGCCUCCAACUCCCUAGGGCUGCCUGAGACACAGGCACCACCAAGCCAGCUCCAGAGCAGGAGGAGGUGGUGGCAGGGACCAGGGCCAGGUCACAGGGCUGAAUGUAAGGCCCUCAGCCUGGUACAGCCACGGGCCCCUCUCCUCCCUCGGUCUCGGCAGCCUUCCCAAGGCAGUCCUUGGGUGGGCCCCUGGAGAAUGCAGACAGUUCUAAUAGAACAGGGUGAGCCUCUGAGAACAGAGCAAUACCAGCCCCAUGGCAUCCCUGGGGCCACGGAGUAGGGUGUCAGGAUCCCCCUGCCGCCAAGCACCUGAUUCACAGGAAGCUGGGGCCUCAUCCAGGCAACCGAGCCCUAAUGACAGCUUGGCCCUAGGAGCAAGGCAGACGGAAGGAAGGCUUUCUUGACUGGCAAGCCUGGCUCCCUUGGCACACUCCUCUAUGGCCAAGGGGAGCUGGGGGCCAAGAGGGGUUGUCUGGUCCCAAGGCCCAGAAGUUCCUGCAGGCACCCAUGGGAAGGAUAGCCUGAUCCCCACAGGGCCAGGCACCUGCUGGGGCAGCCAGGAGCCCUGUCAGUUGGGGAGGCCUCAGAAGGGUCAAGGGGAUCAGCUGUGGGAGCCCAGGUUUCAGAGGCAACCACGUCUGGAUAGAAACCCCAGCUCUGCAUCCCAUGAGCCACAGUGUCUACAUCGGGGUAAUGGGGACAACAGCCUCUUGCCUUAGGAGGGCACGAGGACUGGCACAUGGCAUCCUUAGAAUAGCAGCCACUGCUGACAAGCAUGUUAGUGAACAGGAAGGGCUGGUUGGAGAGAGUGUUGUGGAGUUAGGGGAGGAUGUGGGGACAGUGGACAAGCCCCCUGGGAAAGGGUGACAAGUGCUCUGAGCCCACACAGAUGUGACAUUGCAGAUGGUGCAGACCCU